UUAGGAGUCUCAGUAUUCUUUAAUUACAAGAAACAUUGUAAUCAAGAUGCUUCAUUGGUAGGGUUCCUUUGCCUCAUGGUAGAGGUGGUGAGUUCUAACCUCUGCCUUCCAUCUUUUUACCUAAAAUAUUCACUCUGCAAAACUCUCUUAGGUAACAGAAAAUCGGCCAGUCCACUAAGUUGAUGCAAAACGGGGGCAGGCUUAAAGGAGUCUUGUAGAAGAACUCAAGUCUUUGUUUUAUUUUAUAGGUGGUGGGUUCAAACGUCCACAUUGCAUUGUUUACCCGACUUUUUCACUCUACAAAACUCACCCGAGUAACAUGAAACUCAUCUAAUCCGUGGAGUUAGUGCGAAACUAUGAAAGUUUAGGGGAAGUCUGGAAAAUGGUGGAUGCUGGCGUUAAUGUUCUCUUGGAUAAAUUGGUUACAUUCCUUGCAAGCGAAGGUUAUUGUUUACUUGAAUUUGAUGAACAGUUUGAGGAAACAAAGAACAAGCUUCGUAACGUGCAGAGCUAUGCCAAGGAAGCUGAUCGGGUGAAGAGAAAAGAUAGGAAAGAGAUCCUCAAGACAGUAAUGAGUGACAUAAGAGAGUUGGUAUAUGAUGCUGAGGAUGUAAUAGCAGAUUGCAAGCUUCUAUUCCUGAAAAAGGUCGAAGGGAGUGCACUGAAAUUUCUGAAUUAUUGCUCUCCUACCGUUAUGCAAUUUAUUUGUCGGAUGGUAGAGCGGUUGAGUAAAAUAAAUCAAGGAAUAAGAAAGGUGAAGGAGAGGAUACCCUACUUGGGUAUAGUGGUGGUUGGAAUAGUUGGAAUGGGUGGAAUUGGAAAAAUAUACUUGAUCAAAAGUCCUAUUUGGGUACAACAGUGAUUGGAAUAGUUGGAAUGGGUGGAAUAGGUAAAACCACGCUCGCUCAAAAGAUAUAUGGUAGUAUGCGUGAAAAACUAUUUUAAACAUUCUUUUUUGUUUUAUGUUUCUCAAAGCUUCAAAUUAGAUGGACUAUUGAAGAAGACGCUAAAGAAAAUAAACGUAGUAGAUGAAUCUAAUUGGGGCUACUGACAAAAGAAUGUAUCGUACCCAAAUUCUUUCUGAUGAAGAUAGUUGGUCCUUAUUCAGCAAAGUAGCUUUUGCAAGAAACAGAGGUAAAUGCAUGAAUUUGGACUUCGAGGGAUUUGAUAGGGAGAUAAUUGCGACAUGCGGUGGGCUUCCUUUGGCAAUCAAGAUUGGAGGUGGAAUGAUGUUGGCUAAUGGCUAUUCUAUCAAUGAAAGGAGGCGAAUAUCAGAGCACCUAAAGGAGGAGUUGGGAAGAGACGGGAAAAUGACAUUAGAGAUGGAGAAGAAUGUUUUGCAGAACUUUCUAAUAUCAAAGUAUCCAAAGGAGGAAUUCGUAAUCAGUAAGAAAGAUGAGGAGGCGAAUAUCAGAGCACCUAAAGGAGGAGUUGGGAAGAAACGGGAAAAUGACAUUAGAGAUCGGAGAAGAAUGCUUUGCAGAACUUUCUAAUAUCAAAGUAUCCAAAGGAGGAAUUCGUAAUCAGUAAGAAAGAUGAGCUGGUCAUUUCAAGGCUAGAGAUAAGCUAUGAAGAGCUCUUGGCACAUUUAAAUCCUUGCUUGUUGUGCCUUGUUAUGUAUCCUGAAGAUUUUGAAAUAUUGGUUUUCUACAUAUUAUAUGAGUGUAGGGUGAAUUUGUGAGGGUUUUGUUUGGGGAAGAAACAGGAAAAUGACAUUAGAGGUCGAGAAAAAUGCUUUGCAGAACUUUCUAAUAUAUGUUUGAUGCUAGGGCUGUCUAAAGACGUGUUUGAAAGAUGCUUCUAUUAUUCAUGCAAACUGCAUGAUAUGGUUCUGAAUAUGGUUAUAAAAAUAGCAGUGCAGAGAACAUUUGAGCGUGUUUUGUGGAGCUAGGCCCACAUUCAUUGUUCAAUCGCACUGUGUAGGAAUCUUUAGGAAUGCAGAUUAUUUUGGAGGCAGUUCCAAGCUGCCGACAUUGUUUGGGAUGAACGUUGAGAGCAGAGAGAUAAUUUCAAAUGUAAAAACAAAAGUCUGUGAGUUAAGGUUGUUGAGGGUGUUGUAUCUUUCAAUUGGAACUCUUAUGUAAUCUUCAGAUUUUAUGUAUAUAGUCACAAGAUUAGAGAA